rnacentral:rRNA from 1 species
UUAACACAUGCAAGUCGAACGCUGAAGCCCCAGCUUGCUGGGGUGGAUGAGUGGCGAACGGGUGAGUAACACGUGAGUAACCUGCCCCUGACUUCGGGAUAAGCCCGGGAAACUGGGUCUAAUACUGGAUACGACCUGUCCUCGCAUGAGGGUGGGUGGAAAGUUUUUUCGGUUGGGGAUGGGCUCGCGGCCUAUCAGUUUGUUGGUGAGGUAAUGGCUCACCAAGACGACGACGGGUAGCCGGCCUGAGAGGGCGACCGGCCACACUGGGACUGAGACACGGCCCAGACUCCUACGGGAGGCAGCAGUGGGGAAUAUUGCACAAUGGGGGAAACCCUGAUGCAGCGACGCAGCGUGCGGGAUGACGGCCUUCGGGUUGUAAACCGCUUUCAGCAGGGAAGAAGCGAAAGUGACGGUACCUGCAGAAGAAGUACCGGCUAACUACGUGCCAGCAGCCGCGGUAAUACGUAGGGUACGAGCGUUGUCCGGAAUUAUUGGGCGUAAAGAGCUCGUAGGUGGUUGGUCACGUCUGCUGUGGAAACGCAACGCUUAACGUUGCGCGUGCAGUGGGUACGGGCUGACUAGAGUGCAGUAGGGGAGUCUGGAAUUCCUGGUGUAGCGGUGAAAUGCGCAGAUAUCAGGAGGAACACCGGUGGCGAAGGCGGGACUCUGGGCUGUAACUGACACUGAGGAGCGAAAGCAUGGGGAGCGAACAGGAUUAGAUACCCUGGUAGUCCAUGCCGUAAACGUUGGGCACUAGGUG